rnacentral:rRNA from 1 species
AGCUCGUGUCGUGAGAUGUUGGGUUAAGUCCCGCAACGAGCGCAAACCCUCGUUCUAUGUUGCCAGCGCGUGAUGGCGGGGACUCAUAGGAGACUGCCGGGGUCAACUCGGAGGAAGGUGGGGAUGACGUCAAAUCAUCAUGCCCCUUAUGACCUGGGCUACACACGUGCUACAAUGGUUGGUACAACGAGUUGCGAGUCGGUGACGGCGAGCUAAUCUCUUAAAGCCAAUCUCAGUUCGGAUUGUAGGCUGCAACUCGCCUACAUGAAGUCGGAAUCGCUAGUAAUCGCGGAUCAGCACGCCGCGGUGAAUACGUUCCCGGGCCUUGUACACACCGCCCGUCACACCACGAGAGUUUGUAACACCCGAAGUCGGUGAGGUAACCUUUUGGAGCCAGCCGCCUAAGGUGGGACAGAUGAUUGGGGUGAAGUCGGAACAAGGUAGCCGUAUCGGAAGGUGCGGCUGGAUCACC